UACGUAGGGUGCAAGCGUUGUCCGGAAUUAUUGGGCGUAAAGAGCUCGUAGGCGGUUUGUCGCGUCUGCUGUGAAAUCCCGAGGCUCAACCUCGGGCUUGCAGUGGGUACGGGCAGACUAGAGUGCGGUAGGGGAGAUUGGAAUCCCUGGUGUAGCGGUGGAAUGCGCAGAUAUCAGGAGGAACACCGACGGCGAAGGCAGAUCUCUGGGCCGUAACUGACGCUGAGGAGCGAAAGCGUGGGGAG
rnacentral:rRNA from 1 species